GAUGAACGCUAGCGACAGGCUUAACACAUGCAAGUCGAGGGGCAGCACAGGUAGCAAUACCGGGUGGCGACCGGCGCACGGGUGAGUAACGCGUAUGCAACUUACCUAUCAGAGGGGGAUAACCCGGCGAAAGUCGGACUAAUACCGCAUGAAGCAGGGGUCCCGCAUGGGGAUAUUUGCUAAAGAUUCAUCGCUGAUAGAUAGGCAUGCGUUCCAUUAGGCAGUUGGCGGGGUAAUGGCCCACCAAACCGACGAUGGAUAGGGGUUCUGAGAGGAAGGUCCCCCACAUUGGUACUGAGACACGGACCAAACUCCUACGGGAGGCAGCAGUGAGGAAUAUUGAUCAAUGGCCGAGAGGCUGAACCAGCCAAGUCGCGUGAGGGAUGAAGGUUCUAUGGAUCGUAAACCUCUUUUAUAAGGGAAUAAAGUGCGGGACGUGUCCCGUUUUGUAUGUACCUUAUGAAUAAGGAUCGGCUAACUCCGUG
rnacentral:rRNA from 1 species